rnacentral:rRNA from 1 species
UACAGAGGUCUCAAGCGUUGUUCGGAUUCAUUGGGCGUAAAGGGUGCGUAGGCGGCGCGGUAAGUCGGGUGUGAAAUCUCGGAGCUUAACUCCGAAACUGCAUUCGAUACUGCCGUGCUUGAGGACUGGAGAGGAGACUGGAAUUUACGGUGUAGCGGUGAAAUGCGUAGAUAUCGUAAGGAAGACCAGUGGCGAAGGCGGGUCUCUGGACAGUUCCUGACGCUGAGACGCGAAAGCGUGGGGAGCAAACAGG